ACGAACGCUGGCGGCGUGCUUAACACAUGCAAGUCGAACGGUGAAGGGGCCUGCUUUUGUGGGCCCUGGAUGAGUGGCGAACGGGUGAGUAACACGUGAGUAACCUGCCCCCUUCUUCUGGAUAACCGCAUGAAAGUGUGGCUAAUACGGGAUAUUCUGGGUCUGUCGCAUGAUGGGUCUGGGAAAGAUUGCGCCUUUGGGUGUUUUUGGUGGGGGAUGGGCUCGCGGCCUAUCAGCUUGUUGGUGGGGUGAUGGCCUACCAAGGCGGUGACGGGUAGCCGGCCUGAGAGGGUGGACGGUCACACGGGGACUGAGACACGGCCCAGACUCCUACGGGAGGCAGCAGUGGGGAAUAUUGCACAAUGGGCGCAAGCCUGAUGCAGCGACGCCGCGUGAGGGAGGGAGGCCUUCGGGUUGUAAACCUCUUUCGCCAGUGAAGCAGGCCUGCUCCUUGUGGGUGGGUUGACGGUAGCUGGAGAAGAAGCGCCGGCUAACUACGUG
rnacentral:rRNA from 1 species